CAGCUAGCUAACGCUCUCUCUCACACACACUCUCUCUCUCUCUGGUUUGUUUGUUUGGCUGUGUUCUAGUUGGUAAUGGUGGUUGUGAAGCUACCGCUAUUCUUCGAUUUGCAAGAGAGGAGUAACUGAGAAACGAGAAGAAGAAAGGAGGAAGAAUAAGAAGAAGAAGAAGAAGAAGAAGAAGAGAAAACGACGGAAGGAAGAGGAAAAUAUGUUCAGUCUUCACAGGCAUAGGAAUGCCAAACCCGGAGACAAGGUUGAUUUCAGAUUGUCUCCGUUGAAGGCACUCCAGAUGCCCAAAGGAUGGGACAAGCUGUUCGUAUCUAUUGUCUCUGUAGAAACUGGGAAAGCAAUUGCAAAGUCAAGCAAAGCCAUCACUUGACUUGGACCAAAUUAACAUAGUUGGCUCACAUGGUUUGGUCCUGGGGGCUGGAAUUAAUUGAAUUAUAAGAGGCAGAGCCAUCAGUUUGUCAACCGUGUUUGCUAAGAGAAGUGAGAUUAAAAGUCCAAAGAAGAAAAAAGGGGAAAAACCAAUUCUCGAAAUUUAUGUGGUUUUAAAUUGUAGUUCAAUGUAUAUCACAACUAAAUUAAAGUAAAGCCCUCGUCUUGGAUUGCCACGUAAAAGAUA